AUCUAUAGCCAUGCCACCCUGAACAAGCCCGAUGUCUGAUCUCGGAAACUAAGCAGGUUCGGGCCUGAUUAGUAGUCGGAUGGGAGACCACCUAGGAAGAACAGAUGCUGUUGGCA
rnacentral:rRNA from 1 species